rnacentral:rRNA from 1 species
GAUGAACGCUGGCGGCGUGCCUAACACAUGCAAGUCGAACGGUAAGACCAUUUGCGGGCUCCACUAGCGUUAGCGGCGGGCGGAAGAGUAACGCAUCCAUCACAUACCUAUAAGACUAGGCUAACAACGUGGAGCCAAUUCUGCUAAUGUAUAAUAGAUUCAACGGGAGGGUUCAAUAGUUCAUGAGGGUUUGGCUGUACUCUAGAGAUGGAUCCGCGUCGGAUGAGUAAGGUGGUACGGUAACGGCUUAGCAAGGCGACGAUGCGUAGCUGACCUGAGAGGGUGAACAGCCACACUGGAACUGAGACACGGUCCAGACUCCUACGGGAGGCAGCAGUGGGGAAUAUUGGGCAAUGGGCGCAAGCCUGACCCAGCGACGCCGCGUGGGUGAAGAAGGUCUUCGGGUCGUAAAACUCUGUUAUUGGGGAAGAACAACUGCAUAAGUAACGAUGCAUGUUUUGACGGUACCUAAAGAAGAAGCACCGGCUAACUACGUG